GUGAGGAAUUUUCCGCAAUGGGCGAAAGCCUGACGGAGCAAUGCCGCGUGAAGGAUGAAGGCCUAUGGGUUGUAAACUUCUUUUCUCAGAAAAGAAUUAUGACGGUAUCUGAGGAAUAAGCAUCGGCUAACUCUGUGCCAGCAGCCGCGGUAAGACAGAGGAUGCAAGAGUUAUCCGGAAUGAUUGGGCGUAAAGCGUCUGUAGGUUGUUUAAAAAGUAUUCUGUCAAAGAUUAGGGCUUAACCCUAGAUAGGCAGAAUAAACUUUUAAGCUAGAGUUUGGUAGAGGCAGAGGGAAUUCCCGGUGGAGCGGUGAAAUGCGUAGAUAUCGGGAGGAACACCAAAGGCGAAGGCACUCUGCUGGGCCAAUACUAACACUGAGAGACGAAAGCGAGGGGAGCAAAUGGGAUUAGAAACCCUGGUAGUCC
rnacentral:rRNA from 1 species